rnacentral:rRNA from 1 species
GGACGACGAUCCGUAGCGGGUCUGAGAGGAUGAUCCGCCACACUGGGACUGAGACACGGCCCAGACUCCUACGGGAGGCAGCAGUGGGAAUUUUGGACAAUGGGCGCAAGCCUGAUCCAGCCAUGCCGCGUGAGUGAAGAAGGCCUUCGGGUUGUAAAGCUCUUUCAGGUGGAAAGAAAUCGCACUUUUUAAUACAAGGUGUGGAUGACGGUACCAUCAGAAGAAGCACCGGCUAACUACGUGCCAGCAGCCGCGGUAAUACGUAGGGUGCGAGCGUUAAUCGGAAUUACUGGGCGUAAAGCGUGCGCAGGCGGUUAUGUAAGACAGAUGUGAAAUCCCCGGGCUCAACCUGGGAACUGCGUUUGUGACUGCAUAACUAGAGUACGGCAGAGGGAGGUGGAAUUCCGCGUGUAGCAGUGAAAUGCGUAGAGAUGCGGAGGAACACCGAUGGCGAAGGCAGCCUCCUGGGCCAGUACUGACGCUCAUGCACGAAAGCGUGGGGAGC